rnacentral:rRNA from 1 species
GACGAACGCUGGCGGCGUGCUUAACACAUGCAAGUCGAACGAUGAAGAAAAGAAUUGAAGCUUCGGCAGAAAUUCAUUUCGGAUUAGUGGCAGACGGGUGAGUAACGCGUGAGCAACCUACCUUUUACAAAGGGAUAGCCUCGGGAAACCGGGAUUAAUACCAUAUAACAUUGCGACGAAGCAUUUCGAUGCAAUCAAAGCUACGGCGGUAAGAGAUGGGCUCGCGUCCCAUUAACCAGAUGGUGAGGUAACGGCUCACCAUAGUGACGAUGGGUAACCGGCCUGAGAGGGUGAACGGUCACACUGGAACUGAGACACGGUCCAGACUCCUACGGGAGGCAGCAGUGGGGAAUAUUGCACAAUGGAGGGAACUCUGAUGCAGCGACGCCGCGUGAGUGAUGAAGGAAUUCGUUUCGUAAAACUCUGUUCUAUGGGAAGAAAAGGACUGUACCAUAGGAGAAAGCUCCGGCUAAAUACGUG